GACGAACGCUGGCGGCGUGCUUAACACAUGCAAGUCGAACGGAAAGGCCCUGCUUUUGUGGGGUGCUCGAGUGGCGAACGGGUGAGUAACACGUGAGUAACCUGCCCUUGACUUUGGGAUAACUUCAGGAAACUGGGGCUAAUACCGGAUAGGAGCUCCUGCUGCAUGGUGGGGGUUGGAAAGUUUCGGCGGUUGGGGAUGGACUCGCGGCUUAUCAGCUUGUUGGUGGGGUAGUGGCUUACCAAGGCUUUGACGGGUAGCCGGCCUGAGAGGGUGACCGGCCACAUUGGGACUGAGAUACGGCCCAGACUCCUACGGGAGGCAGCAGUGGGGAAUAUUGCACAAUGGGCGGAAGCCUGAUGCAGCAACGCCGCGUGCGGGAUGACGGCCUUCGGGUUGUAAACCGCUUUCGCCUGUGACGAAGCGUGAGUGACGGUAAUGGGUAAAGAAGCACCGGCUAACUACGUGCCAGCAGCCGCGGUGAUACGUAGGGUGCGAGCGUUGUCCGGAUUUAUUGGGCGCAAAGGGCUCGUAGGUGGUUGAUCGCGUCGGAAGUGUAAUCUUGGGGCUUAACCCUGAGCGUGCUUUCGAUACGGGUUGACUUGAGGAAGGUAGGGGAGAAUGGAAUUCCUGGUGGAGCGGUGGAAUGCGCAGAUAUCAGGAGGAACACCAGUGGCGAAGGCGGUUCUCUGGGCCUUUCCUGACGCUGAGGAGCGAAAGCGUGGGGAGCGAACAGGCUUAGAUACCCUGGUAGUCCACGCUGUAAACGGUGGGUACUAGGUGUGGGGUCCAUUCCACGGGUUCCGUGCCGUAGCUAACGCUUUAAGUACCCCGCCUGGGGAGUACGGCCGCAAGGCUAAAACUCAAAGGAAUUGACGGGGCCCCGCACAAGCGGCGGAGCAUGCGGAUUAAUUCGAUGCAACGCGUAGAACCUUACCUGGGUUUGACAUGGAUCGGGAGUGCUCAGAGAUGGGUGUGCCUCUUUUGGGGUCGGUUCACAGGUGGUGCAUGGCUGUCGUCAGCUCGUGUCGUGAGAUGUUGGGUUAAGUCCCGCAACGAGCGCAACCCUUGUUCACUGUUGCCAGCACGUUAUGGUGGGGACUCAGUGGAGACCGCCGGGGUCAACUCGGAGGAAGGUGGGGAUGACGUCAAGUCAUCAUGCCCCUUAUGUCCAGGGCUUCACGCAUGCUACAAUGGCUGGUACAGAGAGUGGCGAGCCUGUGAGGGUGAGCGAAUCUCGGAAAGCCGGGCUCAGUUCGGAUUGGGGUCUUGCACUCGACCUCUUGAAGUCGGAGUCGCUAGUUAUCGCAGAUUCAACACGCUUGCGGGGAAACCGUUCCCCGGGCU
rnacentral:rRNA from 1 species